AUAUGGAGGGUGCAAGCGUUGUUCGGAAUUACUGGGCGUAAAGCGCGCGUAGGCGGUCUGUUAUGUCAGAUGUGAAAGUCCUCGGCUCAACCGGGGAAGUGCAUUUGAAACUGGCAGACUUGAGUACUGGAGGGGGUGGUGGAAUUCCCGGUGUAGAGGUGAAAUUCGUAGAUAUCGGGAGGAAUACCGGUGGCGAAGGCGACCACCUGGCCAGAUACUGACGCUGAGGUGCGAAAGCGUGGGGAGCAAACAGGAUUAGAAACCCCGGUAGUCC
rnacentral:rRNA from 1 species